ACGGAAGGCAGCAGCUAAGAAUAUUCCGCAAUGGGCGAAAGCCUGACGGAGCGACACCGCGUGGAUGAAGAAGGCCGGCAGGUUGUAAAAUCCUUUUGAAACCGAGGAAUAAGCAUCGGAGGGAAUGCCGGGGUGGUGACUGUAAGGUUUGAAUAAGCACCGGCUAAUUACGUGCCAGCAGCCGCGGUAACACGUAAGUUGCGAGAGUUGUUCGGAAUUAUUGGGCGUAAAGGGCAUGUAGGCGGUCUGGCAAGCUUGGUGUGAAAGCCCGGAGCUCAACUCCGGAACAGCAUUGAGAACUACCAGGCUAGAAUCACUGAGGGGGAACCGGAAUUCCAGGUGUAGGGGUGAAAUCUGUAGAUAUCUGGAAGAACACCAAUGGCGAAGGCAGGUUUCUAGCAGAUGAUUGACGCUGAGGUGCGAAGGUGCGGGGAGCAAACAGGAUUAGAUACCCUGGUA
rnacentral:rRNA from 1 species